rnacentral:rRNA from 1 species
UACAGAGGUGGCAAGCGUUGUUCGGAAUUACUGGGCGUAAAGCGCGUGUAGGCUGCUCAGAAAGUCGGAUGUGAAAGCCCUGGGCUUAACCUAGGAAGUGCAUUCGAAACUUCUGAGCUAGAGUUCUGGAGAGGAAGGCGGAAUUCUCGGUGUAGAGGUGAAAUUCGUAGAUAUCGAGAGGAACACCGGUGGCGAAGGCGGCCUUCUGGACAGUGACUGACGCUGAGACGCGAAAGCGUGGGGAGCAAACAGG